rnacentral:rRNA from 1 species
UAGUCCACGCCGUAAACGAUGGUUACUAGCUGUUUGGUUUUCGGACUGAGUGGCUAAGCGAAAGUGAUAAGUAACCCACCUGGGGAGUACGAUCGCAAGAUUGAAACUCAAAGGAAUUGACGGGGGCCCGCACAAGCGGUGGAGCAUGUGGUUUAAUUCGAUGAUACGCGAGGAACCUUACCAGGGCUUAAAUGUAGGAUGCAUUAGUUAGAGAUAGCUAUUUCUUCGGACUUCUUACAAGGUGCUGCAUGGUUGUCGCCAGCUCGUGCCGUGAGGUGUCAGGUUAAGUCCUAUAACGAGCGCAACCCCUGUUGUUAGUUACCAGCACGUAAUGGUGGGGACUCUAACAAGACUGCCGGUGCAAACCGUGAGGAAGGUGGGGAUGACGUCAAAUCAUCACGGGCCCUUACGUCCUGGGGCUACACACGUGCUACAAUGGUAGGUACAGAGAGCAGCCACGUCGCAAGGCGGAGCGAAUCUACAAAACCUAUCUCAGUUCGGGAUCGGGAGU